AGCUCGCAACAGAAAAGUCAAUUUGGUCAGCAUACAAGUUUGCCAUUUGUGACACUAAGAUACAUACAAAUUCGCCAUUGUUGUACAAGCUUGCUCUGAAAAACCUCCAAAAAUUCUUCGAAUUUGAUUUGAUUUCAUUUGAAAUUGAUUUGGUUUCAAUUGAAUUGAAUUUGAUUAGACUGACUUAGGUUUAGAAAGAAAUAAAUUGAAUUGAUUUGAUAAAAUUGAAGUAAUGAAUUUUAUUUUAUUAGGCUGACUAUCUGUUGUCUGAUUUUUUUUAUAAACUCUUCCGAUUGGAUGAUCAGAUGGAAAGAGAUGCUAUGAAAGGCCUUGGAUGCUAUUGAAGUAGUUACAUUUGACUAUCUUGGGGGAAAAACUUUGAGAUAGAGUUGGACGUGCAGUCGUGGCUGCUGUGCACAGAUUUAGCUGUAUUUGUAGGAAAGGUCUUACUUCAAUUCUAAAUGGUUUAAGCCAUCCUGUCUUGGAUUUCAGCCUCACCAUUCAGGUUUUCUGUCAAAAUUUGGUGCAGGACUAUUCCUAUUGGUUCAGGUUAUUUUACUAUUGGAUUUCACUUACACAUGCAAUGAUCCUUGGGUUGAGAUUGAUGAGCAUAAAUGGCAUACUUGGCACCAGCUGAAAACAGAUUGGGGAAAUCAUGUAGUCGUCAAGAGUUGUAAUAUUAGCUUUGAGGUAAGUUGAUGAUGUGUCAUACUUUUAUCUUUUUGGUCUUUUGAUGCUUUUUAUGGAGCUUUAAUGUUGAAUUUUGUGGAAAUUAUGUUAGUUAGCUCUUUAUUGUAGUUCAAUGCUUAGCUUGGGAUCUUGAUUGAUUGAAAAGGGGAAAAACAAAAGUGUUCUUCAAUCCCAAGAUCGGUUCUUGUUCAUUCUACAGAUUUGAAAUUUCAAGCAAUUAAUUUUUCUUUUGAGAAGAAAUUAAUUGGGGUUCAAAAUAAUUCAGUUGAUUUAAAUAUUGUUGAUGAAUUGGGUUUUUACAAUAAGUUUGAUGAAAUUGUAAAUUUGGGAUAUUAUGUAGACUUAAUGGGCUCAAGCAAUGGAUUAAUUUGUCUGUUUUUUUCAUCAAUUAAUGAGGCAUGGUGCAAUAAUUAUGUGGUAUAUAAUCCUUGCAUUGAAUCCCACAUUGAAAUCAAAGACCACCGUGAAUUUGAAGAGAAAGAAAUACAAUAUGGUUUUGGUUAUGUUAAUCUGCUGGAUGAUUAUGAGAUCAUCAAUAUUGAUUUUGUGGAGGAUAUGCAGUACGCUGAUAUGGUGGUGUCAGUUUAUUCUGUAAGGUCAAAACAGUGGAGACAUAAGUAUGUUGAAAAAACACUAGAUUAUGACAAACAGCCUUGGGCUUGUAGUAAGUUUGUGGGAGAGUUAAUCAAGGAAACACAGUACUGGGGUGUGAUUGUAGGCAAGGAAGGGGCACUUAAGAAGUGCAUCUUUGCGUUCGAUUUGGGUAAAGAAGAAUUCAAAAUCAUGCCGUUGCCUAAACCGAAUUUAGGGGAUGACGAUGGGCUUCGGCGUUUGGGGUUUGGUUUGUGUAAUAUAAAUGAUUGUUUGUAUGCUUGGGGGAAAUAUAACGAGGGUUAUUUAGAGUUAUGGAAGUUUAAAGAUGGAGGGGUGGGGGUGGAAUCAUGGAUUAAGCUGUGGGCUUUUAAUGUGAUGGAGCCAGUUGGGUGUUCAAGAUUGUAGGGAUUUGUUCUUAUUGAAUGAAUAUGGAAAAAUUAUGAUCCUCACCGGUGCAGAUGCACUCGUGUUUGCGGACAUCAACCACGAUCCGCCUGCAUCUGUGUAUAUUGAAUGCAAGAAGAUCGGUGCAGUGAACUAUCUGUUCAGUCUGGUAUCACCUACACACCUUUAAUUGGCAUAAAUACAUAAUGCAUACAUAGGUUAGGUUUGUAUUGUUGUAAUAUUUCACUAGAUAGUCUUCUAACAAUUUGUGUAGGAGCAAUCUCACAUAGAAUUUUUAGAGAAGUUUGUGUUGCUUUUAUAGUGUUGUGUACUUUUGAUGAUGUCAACAUUAUAAUUAUUUGUUUGUUUCCCACAUUGACAAAAUAAAAUGUAAUUGAUAGUUUAGUAUGGUUUUUAGAUGAAUAGCUUGCAUUAUUCUAUGUGUUUAAUAUAGAGAAAAGAUAGUUUAGUAUGGUUUUUAGAUGAAUAUAAUGCUUGCAUUAUUCUAUGUGUUUAAUAUAGAGAAAAGAUUGUGCAUGAGCUUAGUAUUGAACACUUUGCACGACUGCACGCGCUGCGGUCUGAAAUUAUUCUUAAGUUGAUGUACUGAACUACUGAUGUAUGGUAGAUUGGUAGAUGAAAGUUAUAUUCAUGGGCGGAUGUAGUGUAGGGGGGUUCAAUGGAGCUGUUACUAGUUUUAAUUUUUUUUGUGAGUCAAAUAAUUUGUUGAGUAUGUAUGGUGCAUUGGUAAGGAGCUCACUGUUAGAUCAGCGUGUUCCUCCUAAGUCUUGGUUCGAUUCUUUCUGCCCUCAUUGUCAAAUAUGUGUUUAUUAGGGACUUGGAAUCCUCAAAUAGAAGAAGAUAUUGUGUCUCCUAUUGACGAUGCGGACAUUGAGUCGCAAAAUUUUAACUUAUGUAUUAAAUAUUUAAUUGAUAUAUAAUCAUCGUUUUUUUAAUAUUUCGAACCCACUGUUCGAAAUUCCUGAAUACGCCACUGAUUAUGUUGCAUUUAAUGUUGGUAGGUGGUGGUUUAUGGUUUAUAGACCAUUCAUUUGCAAGUGACGUAAUAUUAGUCC